GUGGAAGCCAAUGGGUAUUGUAUUCUUUCAGAUCCGACGUAAAUAGACCUCACUUAACGACGUAAACGAGUAUUUCACAAGUCUCACCACAACAUCAUAACAGUCGACAAACUCGGCUGCAGGAUUUUACGACAUCGGAGACGUACGCUGCAUACACGCACGUCGAGCUGAGGCAUCCACUGUUCAUAUCUGACAUACUGUGAACUUCAAAAUGUCCGAAAAACCACCAGCACACACCAAGGAAGAGGAAGCGAAUGGGCCAGUUACCUAUGAUGAUGAAGCGCCGGGGGGAAGUGUCAGCGCUGCCACCCCUAAAGAUUUCCAAUCUGGACCACAAGCUCCACCAUCUUUCGAGGAAGUCAUGGGACAAAACCUGACGUCUUUUAUCCCUGCACAGCCGGAGUUACCUCCCCUGUGCCACAUCGACAUCAUGCCGAUGGUGGUCGAUCCGGGGAACAUCCGGUACAAGAAGUCGCCGAUUUUUCAACCCUUCAGCUCCAUCAUCACUGGUGCCAAUGUGUGGCUGCUGCAACACCCGGAGCUCCUGUGCUGGAAGUGCGAGACUGUCGAGAGAAAGAUUGACUCAGGGACAAAGGUCAACCUUGGGGUCAUGACCCACCACGAAUCAGCUGAAGGCUUCAACGCCCACGUGAUGGGAUUGAGAAUCUGGUUCGUGAAGAAGGUUGAUGGGUCCCCUCCUCAGCAACUCGGCCUUGUUAAUGUCGUACCCGAAGGAGGGGUUACUGAGUGCAUUGGCAAAGUCAACACGUCCGUUAGGUCCUUACCAGGUGCAAUCCUGAACAUCGAGACAGCGACCUUGAAAUACUCCAUCGGCUACAGCAAGUUUGACCCCGAGUGUACCUGCUACUGCGAGAAUGGAGCCGACGGUUUACGCGCCAGGAAAACCAAGCAGAUCAUGAGGGUGUUCUACGUUGUUGGGCAGUCGAGGAAUGAAACAGUUUUUAUGAAGGAGAUACAGCCCAGGCAGGUGCGCUUCACCGGCACCAAGUCAUCAACCAAGUUUGAACCAUUCUCUGCAGUGGUGGAACAAGCUCGGGUGUGGUUACAAAGUCAAGCCGGUAUCCGAGUUGUCAACAUUGAAACACGAGACAUCCAGGCAAGGGAUCAUCAAGGGAAAAUAGAUAUUUUCUCCGAGAAAACAGACGACUUUUUGUCAAACUCCGACUGCAUAUAUGUCAGGGUACUGCGCAUCUUCUAUGUCAAUACACCGGAAGUUACGUCAUAUGCUGGCACCUUCUUAUCAUCGCGCCUCUUCGCCCCAGGAAAGGGCGGAGAAAAGGGUUUCGAAAACAUGAAUCAGACAAUGGGAAGAAUAGCCAACUGGUUGGCAGUCAAUCCGCUGCCAAUAUUCAGCGUCGAGACGGUGUUGUUCCCAACAACCCUAGGGGGUGCAGGUUUAAACGAAGAACGCGUAGACUACGGGCUGGUUGAAGGCGGGGGAAAGCGGUGGCUCACGGCUAUCAGGUUAUAUUUCCCCGUGCCUUGCCCAGAGGAGGUCGUCGUGCAGAAGCAGUCAGGCACGUGCACGGUGUUGUGAGUGUGGGAGACGGAGGGACAUGCUCAACACUCUUUGCUGGGGAAUCGUUGCCAUGGUUUUCAACCUAUUCCACCUAACCUGUAUGGUUUUGUGCCAUUCUUCGAAUAUUGUUCCAUUGCUGUCAGAUCAUUUGAUGCUGAAUCAAGAUGUAAGACGUUUAAGAUAUGUUACGAAACCCUAAAUAGUCUACCCCUAAAUACUCGUACCACUUAAAAUGAUAAUGAAAAUAAUAAUAAUUUACUCAAAGGGGAUCUGGGGAUAUGCGAUAUUCAUUGCUCGCUGUUUUUGUUAAAGAAUAUAAAAGUAAUUUGACAUAAAGUUUUACAAAACAAAUCUUUCUUAAGACAUACUAGAUCAUCUAAAAAUAAUGCUUUGUCGUUCACAAACAGCUUGCUUCCAUAGAAAUGUAUGGCAUAUCUUGAAGCACUGGCUGUGACAAUGUUCUGUCUCAAACAGAACGACCCCCGAAUCCCACCCCACCCCAUCCGGACACCCCGAAUAUUAAAUGGAUGUCCCCUUACCCCAGGGUCGUUGGCUUGCAACUUCCUUCCCGACUUGUCCGUCUCAUCUCCAUGUUUGACGUUCAAUUGAUACAGUGCUGUUUCACUUCUCUUCAACCCUGGCUGUGAAUGCGAAUGCUAAAGAUGACUCCAGUCCACCGUGCUGCUGAUGGUGGUAGUGAUGCUGAUAUAUACACUGGUGGUAGUGAUGCUGAUAUAUACACUGGUGGUCGUGAUGCUGAUAUAUACACUGGUGGUAGUGAUGCUGAUAUAUACACUGGUGGUAGUGAUGCUGAUAUAUACACUGGUGGUAGUGAUGCUGAUAUAUACACUGGUGGUAGUGAUGCUGAUAUAUACACUGGUGGUAGUGAUGCUGAUAUAUACACUGGUGGUAGUGAUGCUGAUAUAUACACUGGUGGUAGUGAUGCUGAUAUAUACACUGGUGGUAGUGAUGUUGAUCUGGAUGACACUCCAGAAUGUGAAGUACCAGUCUAUACUUUCAGCCUCUAUGCUGAAUCUUAAAGUAUGUUUUUUUCGAGAGGGUGUGUUUAUAAAUAUUAUCAUCUUUUGAUAAAAAUGGAUACCGUUUUUGAAAAAAAUAGGAAACAUCCCCUUUAGAUUCAUGCUCGACGUAGAAAUAAUAAAAUUUUGGCGAAUUUUUGUAAAAUCAUAUUGUUCACCUAUUCAAAAUAGCUUACAUGUGUUGUGAAGCCCUUCUCUGGUGUCUCCCGCCGUGAUAUUGCUGGAAUAUUGCAAAAAGCAGCGUAAACCAUACUCACUCACUCACUCUUAUAUGUGUAAUAAAUUUGAAUUUUAUUUUCAUUCAGUCGGGUUUCAGUCGCUAAUGGAAAAAAAUAUCAAUAAUGAAAAUAAUAAAAGCAAAUAAUAAAAAACCCAGCCUGGCUGAUUAUAGCUGAUUGUAGAGAUGAUCCUUUGUCCAAAGAAUUGUGAUGAUGGUAGAGCAUGUUAUACCAGGAUUAUGUUCUGUCUGGUAGGUCUGGUAGGUCUGGUAUGAACACCGGCUGGGUGAUCGAUGGCGGGUCGGCAUCAUAGAAGCAAGAAAAGAAAAGAAAGAAAAUUGUUUUAUUUACGUGUCACCCGGCGUUGUAUACAAUAAUAUUUCAUUUUGGUAAAAUACAGGCAGAUAUAUAUAUAUAAAAGAAUAACGCCAGCCGGCCUAUAAAGGCCUAUGAGACACAUGUUACACAAUAAAAAGCAUGUAAUAUAAAAAAAGAAGUUUAUAAAACCACUUAAGUGCAUUUGAAAUACUAAGAGAAUUAGAGGUACGAACCAUGGGGUUUUAUAAAUUAUAUAAUGAGGGACUUACGACGGUUAUACAUUUUAGCCAAUGAUACGGCUAUUUUCUUACAGAGGGAAUAAGUGGACAUACAUGUAAGGUAGAGAAGCUGGUCCGCUGUGGACAGCUGAGGGAAUAUAGGUGCUGUUGUGUUUCACCAAGAUGCAAGAAGGUCAAUGACCUGCCCCCUUCCUCACAUAUUAACCUACUGCGCGUGUAUUUGGAACAGUGCUGUAAUUACAUUAAACCUAUCCGUCUUGAAAGAAAAAUAAUCAAUGUAUUUUCAGACACAUGUUUAUUUCACUUUCAAAACUAUCAUAUUUCAUCAGUGUGUUGGAGUAUUCCGGUCCUGCUGUUAUUUUGUUAUGCAAAUUUCAUGUCUAUUUUUACCCUACAUGUGAUCGUGCCUUGUAUUAUUUUGCACACCAACAUAUAUACUCCUCAAAAUAAGUGAAAGAACACCCGAACCUUUCAUAUGACCAUGACAGAUUAACUCCAGUCAUAGGAAACAAAUCGGGUGUUCUUUAACUUCUUUUGAAUAGUAUAUAUUUUAUAACUGAUCGUAUAAGCGAUAGAAGGUGUACAGUAAAUUGUCUACUCACACCCGUACAGUAUGUUAUGAUCAUCUGUACAAUGUGGCAUGGUCCCGUAGUUUUCGCGCUUCGACGAGAAGAGUAGCCUCCCUUUGAUUGCGAACGUGUCGUGCACGCUGACAAAAACUUCGUCUGUGUCCUGUUUGCGAAAAAUGAAUGUAUGCUGACCUUUAUAGACAAGUGUCGACAUGUGAUGAAGAUGCGGAGUCUGUAUAAUCUAUGUAUAUAGUUUAUUCUAAACUGUGAUAUUAUUUUGUAUUUAUAUAUCAUAACAUAUACCUCAAAUGGGGGUAUUUCACUCGAGUGAAAUAACAAGUACACAUGCUUUAUAAUAGAUUAGUCCCGGUUGCCUAUACAACGAGAGAAUGUUAUUUUCUUUGAAAAUGAACAUUGUGAAUCUAUAAUUUGAUUUCCCAAUCUGUCAAGCAUGUUGCCAAGUACCAGCCAGUGCUAGCUUCAAGUGAACACAGAAGAAAAGACUGGUUGGAGAAUAUUCUAAAAACAAAGUUAGUCCACUGUUAUGGUUAAAAAAAACCGAGCACGACGCAAUAUCCCGGAGUAAUGCCCCGUGAUAAUUGUCCCGGAGUGAUACCCCGUGAUAAUUGUCCAUGAGUAAUGCCACGUGAUAAUUUUCCCAGAGUAAUGCCCAUUGAUAACUGUCCCGCAAUUAUACCUCAUGAUAUUUGUCCCAGAGUAAUGCCCAGUGAUAACUGUCCCGAAGUGAUCCACCGUGAUAUUUAUCCCGGAGUAAUGCCCCGUGAUAAUUGUCCCGGAGUAAUGCCCCGUGAUAAUUGUCCCGAAGUAAUGCUCCGUGAUAAAUGUCCCGAAGUAAUUCCCCGUGAUAGUUGCCCCGGAGUAAUGCCCCGUGAUAAUCGUCCCGAACUAAUGCCCCGUGAUAAUCGUCCCGAAGUAAUGCCCCGUGAUAAUUGUCCCGGAGUAAUGCCCCGUCACAUUUGUCCCUGAGUAAAGCUCGAUGACAUUUUCCCGGAGUAAUGCCCCGUCUUAUUUGUCUCUGAGUAAAGCUUCAUCACAUUUCCCCGGAGUAAUGCCCCGUGAUAAUUGUUCUGGAGUAAUGCCCGGUAAUAUUUGUCCCGAAGUAAUGCCUCGUGAUAAGUGUACCAGAGUGAUGCCCCGUGACAUUCGUCCCUGAGUUAAGCCUCGUGGUAUUUAUCUCGGAGUAAUGCCCUGUGAUACUUGUCCCUGUAUAAUGCCCGUGAUAUUUGUCCCAACGUAAUGCCCCGUGAUAUUUGUCCCUGAGUAAUGCCCCGUGGUAGAAUAUCCACCAACACUCUCGGAUUAAAUAAUCCCUGAUAAACCUAGCUCCCUAACCCAGAAACUAGAUAUGUGAUUAUCAUUUAUGUAAAUGCUUCUACUGGUGUCAUCUGUUUUAGAAAUAUGAGUUAUGAAUUAACGUCCACCACUACAUUCCGUUUAACAGUAACGCAUCUUAACAUGUGUACACUAAAACUAAUACAACAUGGUUUUCUUCAUAUCUUAAUGCCAUGCGAAUAGAUGAUAUAUAUAGACUAAUGCUCAACCUACAAGAGGUGUCAUUUUAAGAAUCUUAUAUAUAAAAUCACAAACUAUUUCUACUUUGUUGAACAUAUAUACAUUAUAUACAACUGUUGAUACACGUCACGUGAUACCCUGCACAAUGUGCCAAAGUGUUAGACCCAGGUCACGUGAUCCAUCCCCACCAUUGGCGUCGUCGUAUGCCUCUGGCGUUGAUUAAACUGAAAAUUCACUCAUUCUAAUUUUUUGUCAGUUUGAAUAAACAGUUUAUAUGUCAAGCCGUGAAAA
rnacentral:misc_RNA from 1 species